UUUUAAAAAACUAAAUUAUUUUUUAAAAUAGCAAGAAUAGCAAUAAAAAAAAACAUCAGGAGAAGAACACAGGUUUAGCUUUUCCAUUGGAAGUAACUCCUCACAAAGGGAGACAGGCAUGGCCAAGGAUCAGCCCAAGGCACAGCCUUAACCCUUGCAGUGCCUGGGUUGUGCCUGACAAAAUCCCCUUGUCCCAAGCACUGGGAAGGGCUGGGCAAUUGGAAUAAUGAACAUUAAACAGUUGAGGACUUGCUGGGUGCUGUGCUGCUGUCCUGAAUUCCCAUAAAGACACGGGCAGCUUCCCAUGAGGGCUCAUAUCAGCACAACAGGGGAGUUUGGCAGGGAUUUUAGGCCAGGCUGAUGCUAACUAUGAGCAGAUGAGGUGUCUGUGUGUAUAUAUGUGGAUGUGAAGGUGUUCCUCACAGGCUCUAAACCCCCUCAAAGCACCCAAAGUUUCCCCUGACGCUCCAGAGUGCUCCUCUCCCCUCAUGGUUUGUGGGUGUGGGGCUGGAGGGGAGAGCCUGCUCCUCCUGUGCCCCCAGGACCCCAAAACACAACCAAAGAGGCAUUUUCCCUUUGCCUUGAAAGCUGAGGGAGUCAAAUCCGGCAGAGGCAGGCUCAGGUCUCUGGCUCACAAAUUCUUGGUCCAAGUGGUCCAGACUUCAGCAGCACAGAGCUGGGGCAGCCCCAGCCCUGGCUCUGGGUUUCUCUGUGUUGGUGCAUGAGAGGAGAUCUCCAGGGAGAGGCUGCACCUCUGAGCUCCUGGGGCACAGCUCCUCUCUUUGUUCCCCCUCACAUCCCCAUCCCAACCCUCUGCAAACCUCAGGCACCAAUCCUGCUACAAUUCCUUUAUAAUUCUCUUUUUUUUUUUUCCCCCUAUAGAAACACAAGGGACAACCGCAAUAAUUUCCAAGAAGGAAAGGCUUCCCUCUGGAGAAGCCAAGAGGGACCUGCAGCAGAGUCCUGGAUUUAUCUCCUCGUGAGGCUGGAGGAUCUCCCCAGCACAGAGACUGGAGCGGCCGGGGAUGGAUGGACGGAUGGAUGGAUGGAUGGAUGGAGCUGCAGGGAGGCAGAGCCGCCGGGAGGGAGCGGCUGAGAGGGGGAGAGAAAGAAGAGCAAACACAGGAGAGAAUCUGGAGGAGAGGAAAGGCAAAUGAUGAAAUGAUGUGCUGCUUUCACCUGCUGGCUCCCUCCUUGCUGUCCGGGCACCGGGGAGAGGAGGAUUCCCAGCUCCUCUGACCCUUGUGCCUUGCUGGGGAAGAUGUGUGUGCUGUUUGUGACAAGCUCAUAAAGCUCAUCCUGGAAGGAGAAGGUGCUGCUGGAGCUUCUCCCCGUGUCUCUUUGUUCUUUGAUCCCCCUUGGCUGCUGCUCUACCCUGGGCCACAGCCACCACAGACUCACUUUGGGGUUGGAGAGAGCAGAGUAAGAGCUGGAAACCCCUCUCUCAUCCCUUCCCUGGCCUCCGAGGGCUGCUGUUUAUUUUCCUGGAGAGCCACCAUUCCAUGUGGAUUUGGGGAACCACAGAUCUCUGUGUGCCCCCCCUCACCGCCUCCCCCUCACCCCAACCCUUCCCUUCUCCACCCCACCUUCCCCCAGGGGCAUCCAGCCAGUGCAAGCGGUCCCUUGGCAGCAAUGAUGAAGAUGGAUGUCUGAUUGAUUCUCUCUCCUCUGUGCAGCCCCCUCUCCGGCCCCCCCUUUUCCCUCUGCCCCCCUCUCCGUGCCCUUCUGGCAGAAAAUUAAAAGGCUAUUUGUUAAAGGGCGAAAGCCCUCAGGUGCAGCCCCCGGCUGGACAAUUUGUCUCCAUGAAAAGGAUGCUAUUAUGAGAGCGGCUGGAUCCAGGAGGAGGGGGAGAGUUUGCCAGCGAGAGCAGGGAGAGGUGGGGAGGGGGAAGGAGGCAUCU
ensembl:lncRNA